GCCGCCGCAGCAGCUCCGCGGCGCCCGGUGCCGUCCCCUCGCCGCGCAGCCCGGGCACGGCUCCGCCACAGCCAGCACAGCCCGGCUGCUUUUAGGAGCAGCGCUGCUGAGGCCCAGGGGGGGGGAAAUGAAAGGAAAAGGAGGUUGCAGCAGCGGGAGCCGCCGCACCCCGGCGGGAGGAGCGGGAUCGGGGGAGCUUGGCAGGCGGGAGGGCGGCCUCUGCCACGGCGCUGCCCGGAGCUUCUCCCCGGCGGUCUCCACCUGCCCGCGGGGGGAGCGGAGCCGGCUCCGGUCCCGGUCCCGGUCCCGGCCCCUUUAGCCCUCGCUCGGCACCCCGCGGGCAGCGGCUCCGCGCUCGGGGCCGCGCCGGCAGCGGCGCGGGCUCGUCUCUCAUCCUGAGGACAAGGUCAAGGAUGAAGGGUCAAUGUCAAGUUGUCUUAACGGUGGAAGGCGACCCUCCACGGCAACACUCCUUGCUUCCCGCGUUUCUGGUGUCCUCGAUUGAUUCGAAAGUGCCAUUUUGAAGGGGAACCGCGCCCGGGCACCAAGAAGACGCGAGGACUUCGCUUUUCCUUCCCCGGGCGAAGGAGUGAGGACGGUACAGGACGGGGAUGUCACCGCCACUCUGCCUAACAGUAUUUAGUGUCUUAAAGUGCUUUAAUGGCUGGAUUGCUUUAGGUUUCAGGGACCCUCGGAGGACUGCAUUCUGCCAAGCGAACCCUCCGAGAGCCCGCCCGGAGCGCCGCCGCCGCCAGACACCCAGCCCAGGCGCCCGCGCUCGCCAGCAGCGUCCGCAACAGGCUCUAAACCAUUGCCAGGGUUUCUCUUGGGAUCACGGACUCUCCUGAAGGAACAGCUGAGCUUUCCCUGCGCCCCUCUCCGCACGCAGCGUUCGUCCGCGGCGGCGCCGGGCUCCCCCCGCAGCUCGCCCCGGGGCCGGCGGCGGCACGGAGCUCGCAGUCCGCGAUACCCCCCUGUAACCCUCGCGGAUGGACGAGAGAAACAAUAAAGAACGCUGCUUCCUAAA